rnacentral:rRNA from 1 species
GACGAACGCUGGCGGCGUGCUUAACACAUGCAAGUCGAACGGAAAGGCCCUGCUUUUGUGGGGUGCUCGAGUGGCGAACGGGUGAGUAACACGUGAGCAACCUGCCCUUGACUUUGGGAUAACUUCAGGAAACUGGGGCUAAUACCGGAUAGGAGCUCCUGCUGCAUGGUGGGGGUUGGAAAGUUUCGGCGGUUGGGGAUGGACUCGCGGCUUAUCAGCUUGUUGGUGGGGUAGUGGCUUACCAAGGCUUUGACGGGUAGCCGGCCUGAGAGGGUGACCGGCCACAUUGGGACUGAGAUACGGCCCAGACUCCUACGGGAGGCAGCAGUGGGGAAUAUUGCACAAUGGGCGGAAGCCUGAUGCAGCAACGCCGCGUGCGGGAUGACGGCCUUCGAGUUGUAAACCGCUUUCGCCUGUGACGAAGCGUGAGUGACGGUAAUGGGUAAAGAAGCACCGGCUAACUACGUG